GACGAACGCUGGCGGCGUGCUUAACACAUGCAAGUCGAACGGAAAGGCCCUGCUUUUGUGGGGUGCUCGAGUGGCGAACGGGUGAGUAACACGUGAGUAACCUGCCCUUGACUUUGGGAUAACUUCAGGAAACUGGGGCUAAUACCGGAUAGGAGCUCCUGCUGCAUGGUGGGGGUUGGAAAGUUUCGGCGGUUGGGGAUGGACUCGCGGCUUAUCAGCUUGUUGGUGGGGUAGUGGCUUACCAAGGCUUUGACGGGUAGCCGGCCUGAGAGGGUGACCGGGCACAUUGGGACUGAGAUACGGACCAGACGCCUACGGGAGGCAGCAGUGGGGAAUAUUGCACAAUGGGCGGAAGCCUGAUGCAGCAACGUCGCGUGCGGGAUGACGGCCUUCGGGUUGUAAACCGCUUUCGCCUGUGACGAAGCGUGAGUGACGGUAAUGGGUAAAGAAGCACCGGCUAACUACGUG
rnacentral:rRNA from 1 species